rnacentral:rRNA from 1 species
AUUGAACGCUGGCGGAAUGCUUUACACAUGCAAGUCGAACGGCAGCACGGGGGCAACCCUGGUGGCGAGUGGCGAACGGGUGAGUAAUACAUCGGAACGUGCCCAGUCGUGGGGGAUAACGUAGCGAAAGUUACGCUAAUACCGCAUACGAUCUACGGAUGAAAGCGGGGGACCGUAAGGCCUCGCGUGAUUGGAGCGGCCGAUGUCAGAUUAGGUAGUUGGUGAGGUAAAGGCUCACCAAGCCGACGAUCUGUAGCUGGUCUGAGAGGAGGACCAGACACACUGGGACGGAGACACGGCCCAGACUCCUACGGGAGGCAGCAGUGGGGAAUUUUGGACAAUGGGCGCAAGCCUGAUCCAGCCAUUCCGCGUGCAGGACGAAGGCCUUCGGGUUGUAAACUGCUUUUGUACGGAACGAAAAGGCUCUGGUUAAUACCUGGGGCUCAUGACGGUACCGUAAGAAUAAGCACCGGCUAACUACGUGCCAGCAGCCGCCGUAA